rnacentral:rRNA from 1 species
GACGAACGCUGGCGGCGUGCUUAACACAUGCAAGUCGAACGGAAAGGCCCUGCUUUUGUGGGGUGCUCGAGUGGCGAACGGGUGAGUAACACGUGAGAAACCUGCCCUUGACUUUGGGAUAACUUCAGGAAACUGGGGCUAAUACCGGAUAGGAGCUCCUGCUGCAUGGUGGGGGUUGGAAAGUUUCGGCGGUUGGGGAUGGACUCGCGGCUCAUCAGCUUGUUGGUGGGGUAGUGGCUUACCAAGGCUUUGACGGGUAGCCGGCCUGAGAGGGUGACCGGCCACAUUGGGACUGAGAUACGGCCCAGACUCCUACGGGAGGCAGCAGUGGGGAAUAUUGCACAAUGGGCGGAAGCCUGAUGCAGCAACGCCGCGUGCGGGAUGACGGCCUUCGGGUUGUAAACCGCUUUCGCCUGUGACGAAGCGUGAGUGACGGUAAUGGGUAAAGAAGCACCGGCUAACUACGUG